rnacentral:rRNA from 1 species
AAUGGGCGCAAGCCUGAUCCAGCCAUGCCGCGUGAGUGAUGAAGGCCCUAGGGUCGUAAAGCUCUUUCGCCUGUGAAGAUAAUGACGGUAGCAGGUAAAGAAACCCCGGCUAACUCCGUGCCAGCAGCCGCGGUAAUACGGAGGGGGUUAGCGUUGUUCGGAAUAACUGGGCGUAAAGCGCGCGUAGGCGGAUUAGUCAGUCAGAGGUGAAAUCCCAGGGCUCAACCCUGGAACUGCCUUUGAUACUGCUAGUCUUGAGUUCGAGAGAGGUAAGUGGAAUUCCGAGCGUAGAGGUGAAAUUCGUAGAUAUUCGGAGGAACACCAGUGGCGAAGGCGGCUUACUGGCUCGAUACUGACGCUGAGGUGCGAAAGUGUGGGGAGCAAACAGGAUU